CACCAGGUUGAUUCUGCCUGACGUGGAUGCUAGUCUCAUAGAUUUAGCCAUGCAUGCAUGUGUAAGUGAAGCGAUUAGUGGAACGGCGGACGGCUCAGUAACGGGCAAUAAUUUAAUCUCUUUAUAUGGACAACCUCAGGAAACAGAGGGGAAAACAUAUUAGUGAUAUACGUAGAGUAUAAGACUAGAACUAUUUAUAGUGAAAGAGAGUAAGAAGCCAUCCCAUCAGUUAGUAAGUAGGGUAAGGGCCUACUUAGACGGAGACGGGUACGGGGGAUUAGGGUUUGAUUCCGGAGAGGGAGCCUGAGAGAUGGCUACCAGGUCCAAGGACAGCAGCAGGCGCGAAAAUUACCACAGCCCGCAUUGGGGCGGUAGUGAAGAGACGUGAAUAUAAUUGUGUGUAGAUAACACAGUAGUAACUGGAGGUCAAGUCUGGUGCCAGCAUCCGCGGUAAUACCAGCUCCAGGAGUGUCUAUGAUGAUUGCUGCGAUUAAAAGGUCCGUAGUCUAAGAACGAAACUUGUUUGUAAUGUGGUGAGAAGGCAACUUCUAAUCAAAUACCAAAUAGGACGAGAAUAGUUCAGAGUAAGGAGCGAUGGAGGGCUAGAUUAUUAAGCAGCGAGAGGUGAAAUUUGAUGACCUGCUUAGGAGUAACAGAGGCGAAAGCGCUAGUCAAGAUCGAAUCCGAUGAUCAAGGACGUAGGCUGGAGUAUCGAAGACGAUUAGAGACCGUAGUAGUUCCAGCAGUAAACUAUGCCUACACUGUUGGAUGAGCACUGUGUAAGCAGAGCUUGUGUGAUAGAAGAGAAAUCUAGUAGGGCUUUGGGGAGAGUACGCGCGCAAGCGAUAAAUUUAAAGGAAAUUGACGGAAGAACACCACAAGGAGUGGAGUGUGCGGCUUAAUUUGACUCAACACGGGACAACUUACCAUACCCGAUGACCGCGUGAGCGUAGUACGCGAUAGGUCAGAGAGUGGUGCAUGGCCGUUAUCGACUAAUGAGGUGACUUUUGGGUUAAAUCCGUUAAUCAGUGAGAUCCCUAGUAUGCAGAGUUGCGCAAGUGGCUUUGCAGGCGACAGGAGCGAGAAGCGCCGGAAGGAAGGGGCAAGAACAGGUCAGUGAUGCCCUUAGGUGGUAUGGGCUGCACGCGCACUACAGUGGUUACUAUAAUAUAUGUAUAGAAAUAAAAGUAAUCGAGAGGGAAUGAGCACUGUAAUGUGCACAGGAACGAGGAAUUGCUAGUAAUCGUUAUCUCAUCAAGAAACGAUGAAUAUGUCCCUGUUCUUUGUACACACCGCCCGUCGUUAUCGAAGAUGGAAUUGGGUGCGAACAAGCGAAAGCGAGUGAGUGCAAGGUUCUAGAUCUGAUACAAGUCGUAACAAGGUAACC
rnacentral:rRNA from 1 species